CCUGGGUGUCCUCUAUCUAAUGAAGCUUACUAGUUCAGAUCACUCAGUACUGUCAGUGAUUGGGCUGUGUACAUACAUUUGAUAAAGAAAUAUUUUUCUGGAGUAAGAGGGGUGUGGCUAAUGAGGCAGGUAUAUGGUUCAUCAUUCUGCAAAAAAAAAAAAAAAAUUUAAAUUUUGUUGUGCAAAAACUAAACCAUAUUAAUGAGGCCCAAACGAAUC